rnacentral:rRNA from 1 species
AGUGAACGCUGGCGGUAGGCCUAACACAUGCAAGUCGAACGGCAGCACAGUAAGAGCUUGCUCUUACGGGUGGCGAGUGGCGGACGGGUGAGGAAUACAUCGGAAUCUACUUUUUCGUGGGGGAUAACGUAGGGAAACUUACGCUAAUACCGCAUACGACCUACGGGUGAAAGCAGGGGAUCUUCGGACCUUGCGCGAUUGAAUGAGCCGAUGUCGGAUUAGCUAGUUGGCGGGGUAAAGGCCCACCAAGGCGACGAUCCGUAGCUGGUCUGAGAGGAUGAUCAGCCCCACUGGAACUGAGACACGGUCCAGACUCCUACGGGAGGCAGCAGUGGGGACUAUUGGACAAUGGGCGCAAGCCUGAUCCAGCCAUACCGCGUGGGUGAAGAAGGCCUUCGGGUUGUAAAGCCCUUUUGUUGGGAAAGAAAAGCAGCAGGUUAAUACCCCGCUGUUCUGACGGUACCCAAAGAAUAAGCACCGGCUAACUUCGUG